UACGUAGGUGGCAAGCGUUGUCCGGAAUUAUUGGGCGUAAAGCGCGCGCAGGCGGUCCUUUAAGUCUGAUGUGAAAGCCCACGGCUCAACCGUGGAGGGUCAUUGGAAACUGGGGGACUUGAGUGCAGAAGAGGAGAGUGGAAUUCCACGUGUAGCGGUGAAAUGCGUAGAGAUGUGGAGGAACACCAGUGGCGAAGGCGGCCUUCUGGACCAGUACUGACGCUGAGGCACGAAAGCGUGGGGAGCAAACAGG
rnacentral:rRNA from 1 species